ACUUCAGCAGACUGGAAGCAAAUAUGUUAGACCCACCUUUCUGUCCUGAUCCUGAGGCCAUUUAUUGUAAGGAUAUCUUGGAUAUUGGACAGUUCUCUGUGGUGAAAGGAGUCAACCUGGACACCAAUGAUGAGAUCUUCUACACUCAAUUUGCGACAGGAUGAUUGAAUCUGGAUGUUUCAAGGACCUCAAUGAAUAUGAAGAUAAAGGUCUGUCACCACUUGAAAAACACAAGAUAUGUUCCUGUAUUCUUAGACCAAAGAGAAACUUCUUCCAUAGACUCUUCAGAAGAGCGGCCUGCCUGAACAUUGCCCACAGUGAGGAGAGGGAGCCAACAGAACACUGACCAUUCACUGUGCAGACCACAAAGCAAGACCCUGGUGUUAAGAAGGAAUCUGUCACAUACCCAGUGUCUUGUCCUUUCCAUAAAUUGUAAUAAACGGUCUGUAACACUGUU
rnacentral:lncRNA from 1 species